rnacentral:rRNA from 1 species
AAGAGGUGGGCAAGACCGGUGCCAGCCGCCGCGGUAACACCGGCACCUCGAGUGGUAGCCACUAUUAUUGGGCCUAAAGCGUUCGUAGCCGGUUUGGUAAAUUCUUGGGUAAAUCGUACAGCUUAACUGUGCGGAUUCCGGGGACACUACCAGACUUGAGACCGGGAGAGAUCAGAAGUACUUGUAGGGGAGCGGUGAAAUGUUGUAAUCCUACAGGGACUACCAGUGGCGAAGGCGUCUGAUCAUAACGGCUUUGACGGUGAGGAACGAAACCCUGGGGCGCAAACGGGAUUAGAUACCCCGGUAGUCCAGGGCGUAAACGCUGCUGACUUGGUGUUGGAGAUCCUACGAGGGUGUCCAGUGCUGGCGCGAAGGCAUUUAGUCAGCCGCCUGGGGAGUACGGUCGCAAGACUGAAACUUAAAGGAAUUGGCGGGGGAGCACUGCAACGUGUGGAGCGUGCGGUUUAAUUGGAUUCAACGCCGGAAAACUCACCGGGGGCGACGGUUACAUGAAGGCCAAGCUGAUGACUUUGCCUGAUUUUCCGAGAGGUGGUGCAUGGCCGCCGUCAGUUCGUACCGUAAGGCGUUCUGUUAAGUCAGAUAACGAACGAGACCUCCGUCACCAUUUGCUAUUCUCUUCUCCGGAAGGGGAGCACUAUGGUGGUACCGCCACUGUUAAAGUGGAGGAAGGAGGGGGCAACGGUAGGUCAGUAUGCCCCGAAUCUCCCGGGCUACACGCGCGCUACAAAGGCCAGGACAAUGGGCUUCGACACCGAAAGGUGGAGGCAACCCCGAAACCUGGUCGUAAUUCGGAUUGAGGGCUGCAAUUCGCCCUCAUGAAGCUGGAAUACGUAGUAAUCGCGGGUCAACAUCCCGCGGUGAAUAUGCCCCUGCUCCUUGCACACACCGCCCGUCAAACCACCUUAGUUGGGUCUGGACGAGGGUUUGUCUUAUGACACGCUCGAAUCUGGGUCAGCGAGGAGGGUAAGUC